GACGAACGCUGGCGGCGUGCCUAAUACAUGCAAGUUGAGCGAUGAAGAUUGGUGCUUGCACCCAUUUGAAGAGCAGCGAACGGGUGAGUAACGCGUGGGGAAUCUGCCUUUGAGCGGGGGACAACAUUUGGAAACGAAUGCUAAUACCGCAUAACAACUUUAAACAUAAGUUUUAAGUUUGAAAGAUGCAAUUGCAUCACUCAAAGAUGAUCCCGCGUUGUAUUAGCUAGUUGGUGAGGUAAAGGCUCACCAAGGCGAUGAUACAUAGCCGACCUGAGAGGGUGAUCGGCCACAUUGGGACUGAGACACGGCCCAAACUCCUACGGGAGGCAGCAGUAGGGAAUCUUCGGCAAUGGACGAAAGUCUGACCGAGCAACGCCGCGUGAGUGAAGAAGGUUUUCGGAUCGUAAAACUCUGUUGGUAGAGAAGAACGGUGGUGAGAGUGGAAAGCUCAUCAAGUGACGGUAACUACCCAGAAAGGGACGGCUAACUACGUG
rnacentral:rRNA from 1 species